CCUACGGUGGUCCGCAGUGAGGAAUAUUGGUCAAUGGGCGCGAGCCUGAACCAGCCAAGUAGCGUGAAGGAUGACUGCCCUACGGGUUGUAAACUUCUUUUAUAAAGGAAUCAAGUGAGGCACGUGUGCCUUUUUGUAUGUAUUUUAUUAAUAAGGAUAGGCUAACUCCGUGCCAGCAGCCGCGGGAAUACGGAGGAUCCGAGCGUUAUCCGGAUUUAUUGGGUGUAAAGGGAGCGUAGAUGGGUUGUUAAGUCAGUUGUGAAAGUUUGCGGCUCAAACGUAAAAUUGCAAUUGAUACUGGCAGCCUUGAGUACAGUUGAGGUAGGCGGAAUUCGUGGUGUAGCGGUGAAAUGCUUAGAUAUCACGAAGAACUCCGAUUGCGAAGGCAGCCUACUAAACUGCCACUGACAUUGAUGCUCGAAAGUGUGGGUAUCAAACAGGAUUAGAUACCCCUGUAGUC
rnacentral:rRNA from 1 species